rnacentral:rRNA from 1 species
UGCAAGUAGAACGCUGAAGAGAGGAGCUUGCUCUUCUUGGAUGAGUUGCGAACGGGUGAGUAACGCGUAGGUAACCUGCCUUGUAGCGGGGGAUAACUAUUGGAAACGAUAGCUAAUACCGCAUAACAAUGGAUGACUCAUGUCAUUUAUUUGAAAGGGGCAAUUGCUCCACUACAAGAUGGACCUGCGUUGUAUUAGCUAGUAGGUGAGGUAACGGCUCACCUAGGCGACGAUACAUAGCCAACCUGAGAGGGUGAUCGGCCACACUGGGACUGAGACACGGCCCAGACUCCUACGGGAGGCAGCAGUAGGGAAUCUUCGGCAAUGGGGGCAACCCUGACCGAGCAACGCCGCGUGAGUGAAGAAGGUUUUCGGAUCGUAAAGCUCUGUUGUAAGUCAAGAACGAGUGUGAGAGUGGAAAGUUCACACUGUGACGGUAGCUUACCAGAAAGGGACGGCUAACUACGUGCCAGCAGCCGCGGUAAUACGUAGGUCCCGAGCGUUGUCCGGAUUUAUUGGGCGUAAAGCGAGCGCAGGCGGUUUGAUAAGUCUGAAGUUAAAGGCUGUGGCUCAACCAUAGUUCGCUUUGGAAACUGUCAAACUUGAGUGCAGAAGGGGAGAGUGGAAUUCCAUGUGUAGCGGUGAAAUGCGUAUAUAUAUGGAGGAACACCGGUGGCGAAAGCGGCUCUCUGGUCUGUAACUGACGCUGAGGCUCGAAAGCGUGAGGAGCGAACAGGAUUAGAUACCCUGGUAGUCCACGCCGUAGACGAUGAGUGCUAGGUGUUGGAUCCUUUCCGGGAUUCAGUGCCGCAGCUAACGCAUUAAGCACUCCGCCUGGGGAGUACGACCGCAAGGUUGAGACUCAAAGGAAUUGACGGGGGCCCGCACAAGCAGUGGAGCAUGUGGUUUAAUUCGAAGCAACGCGAAGAACCUUACCAGGUCUUGACAUCCCGAUGCUAUUUCUAGAGAUGGAAAGUUACUUCGGUACAUC